CACGUAGGGUGCGAGCGUUGUCCGGAAUUAUUGGGCGUAAAGAGCUCGUAGGCGGUGUGUCGCGUCGGCCGUGAAAACUUGGGGCUUAACUCUGAGCGUGCGGUCGAUACGGGCAUCACUUGAGUUCGGCAGGGGAGACUGGAAUUCCGGGUGGAGUGGUGAAAUGCGUAGAUAUCAGGAGGAACACCGAUGGCGAAGGCAGGUCUCUGGGCCACUACUGACGCUGAGAAGCGAAAGCAUGGGGAGCGAACAGG
rnacentral:rRNA from 1 species